rnacentral:rRNA from 1 species
CAGUAGCCGCGGUGAUACGUAGGGUGCAAGCGUUAAUCGGAAUUACUGGGCGUAAAGCGUGCGCAGGCGGUUUGUUAAGACAGACGUGAAAUCCCCGGGCUCAACCUGGGAACUGCAUUUGUGACUGGCAAGCUAGAGUGUGGCAGAGGGGGGUGGAAUUCCGCGUGUAGCAGUGAAAUGCGUAGAUAUGCGGAGGAACACCAGUGGCGAAGGCGGCUCACUGGCUCGAUACUGACGCUGAGGUGCGAAAGCGUGGGGAGCAAACAGGAUUAGAGACCCCUGUAGUCCCUGUCUCUUAUAA